GGUACGAUGCGCCUGAUCCACGUUCGCAAGGACGCGAGUAUCGGAGUGUAUCUGCCAUCCUUCUAGUUAGCUGGCUGUACUUAACUGUGUGGUCAGUGAUCUAGAUCAUUUACUUUGAAAAAAUUAGAGUGUUUAAAGCAGGCUUGCGCUAUGAAUACAUUAGCAUGGAAUAAUAAUUUAGGACUUUGCUUCUAUUUUAUUGGUUUCUAGGGGUGAAGUA
rnacentral:rRNA from 1 species